GUGCUCACUUCGGCAGCACAUAUACUGAAAUUGGAACAAUACAGAGAAUAUUAGGAUGACCCAUGCACAAGGACAACAUGCAAAUUCAUGAAGUGUUCUGCAUUUUU